GAUGUUUGUGGGUCGGAUGGCAUUUAAUUUGAGAAAAACUUGUGAUGUCCUUUGUGGCUUGCUUUGAGGGCAACAAGAAUGGUCGGUCUGAUAUACGAAACGAAAUGUACUUCUCUAUAAAGAAUUUUUUUUUUUUUUUUUUUUGAGAGAUAGGUAGCACGCUACCCGUUUUGUUUAUUUCAUUUAGAAAUAAACUUAGCUAGAAAUAUGAAUCAAUUAGGAUUCGAACUUAGGUCUCUGGUACCAUUUACCAAAUUCUUUGUCAUUUGUUCUAGAACAGUCGGUCUAUAGAGAAAUUAUUUGUUGGGAACUCUUUGGAGUUUAACGAACAAUUCAAUAUAAGACGUGAUGCUGAAUAGUAAGGCUCGCAAGGAGCACGCAUGGCUAAAACAUCUACAUUAAUAUUUUACUAUUUUCUAAUCAAAACUCAGAAAGGCUGGUCUAAAUGUGCGGUACUUAGAAGCCGCACAUAAAUCCACAUGCCAAAUCAAUUUGUUCUUAUUUUUAUUUUUUUUAAAAAAAAAUGAGCUUCUAACUGUUGGCUUAAAUAAACUAGUAUCCUGUCCUGUGGCGAGAGGUUAUGUUGGGUCAAGUCAUAUUCGAAAUGGCGUGAGGCUGAGUAGGCCAAGUCAUGUUCGAAGUGAUGUGAGGCUGAUUGGGUCGAGUCACAAUCGAGACGUGUGGGUGCUAUAUCUGUACGCUUUAAGUGAAUUGGCUGCGUAUUUCUAACAGCUCGAGCUUUUGAGAUUAAUGGUUAACGCCAACGAUCCGACACUCAUCACUUUCCUCCUAUUUACCCUCUUUUUUAAAAAAAAAAAUUGUAAUCAAGGAUGGAUCAUUUAUUUAUGGAAAAACUUCAAAUACCCCCACAUAGGGAAAACUUCAAAUACCCCCAUGUCGUUUUGCAGUUUCUCACUUUAGUACUCUGUGGUUUAAAGUGUAUCAAGUUAGUACCUUGUGGUUUCGCACUUUCUCACUUUAGCAUCCUGUGGUUUAAAGUGUAUUAAAUUAGUACUCUGUGGUUUCAUUUUUGUAUCAAGUUAGUACCCUGUGGUUUUAUUUUUCUCUUUUUAUUAUCCAUUUCGGAAUAUUUUUUUCGUUAAAUCAGUGACAAAGUUAAAACUCAAGGGCACUAAAAUAAAUAUUCGAUAAACCUAGGUAAAGUAUCUGAAGUUUUUUUGUAUAUAAUUUAACGAAAUAUUAAACCAUAUGGUACUAAAAUGAGAAAGUGCGAAACCACAGAGUACUAACUUGAUACAUUUUAAACCACAGAGUACUAAAGUGCGAAAGUGCGAAACCACAGAGUACUAACUUGAUACAUUUUAAACCACAGAGUACUAAAGUGCGAAAGUGCGAAACCACAGAGUACUAACUUGAUACACUUUAAAUUAUAUAGUAUUAAAAUAAAAAAGUACGAAAUUACAGGGGUAUUUAAAGUUUUUUCUUUAUUUAUUUACAUCAUGUGUUCAAUGCUCAGCCGCCCACCAACCUCUUGGUUUCUCAACGAACGCGCGUGGUACGCGUGCUGGCAAGUCAAUUCUUGGAGUGCGACCAUUGAUUUCUUCAUCCUCCAACUCCCUCCAUUAUUUUUUUGGCCUCCUAUACUCCACUCUACUCACAUUUAUUAAAAGCAUAUGGUACUGCUUCGUGCUCAAAAUUUAUCAUUACAUUACAUGUUGUGACAUAUGGAUCAUAAAAUAUAUAUAUAUAUAGAGUUGGACUGGACUAUUAUUAGUAGCAAAAUCUUAUUAUUACUAUCAAUUUUUUAGCCUUUGAUCAACUCUUUUCAUUAUUUCUAACCAUUUGAUUAAAUACUAUAACCCAGUGGGGACUACUCAACCCUAGAGGGACCACUCAACUCUAAUCGACUAAUAUCAUCCUGACCCUACAAUUUUUCAUCCAAGAGUUAAAAACUUGAUAGCAAAAAAAGUGUUUUACUAUUAAUAAUAUUCCAGCCUAAUUCUCUCUCUCUAUAUAUAUAUAUUCUCUCU
rnacentral:lncRNA from 1 species